UUGGUGAAGGUUGCAGUGUAAACUUGAGGAAGUGAUCUCCCCUCUGCUAUUUGCUCCCCAGCAGUCAACCAGGAUGCUGCUCUUCUGUGUGCUUCUCUUAGUAUCUCUGAUAGGGGAAAGUUCUGAACAGACAAUAACAGCAAUGAUGACUGAAAUGAAUGCUUUAGAUGGAGAAAAUGUCACCCUCUCGUGCAAAUAUGAUGGCAUAAACAUUCAGAGUUUGCAGUGGUAUCUCCAGUACCCCGGAUCUAGACCAGAGUAUGUGCUUUUAGUCUUCGUUCGUGUCGAUCGUGCUGACUCUCAAAAUCUACGGCUCAAUGCCAUGGUGAACUCGGACAGAAAACAAGUUUCUUUGAAGAUCUCCUCUGCAAAGAUCUCAGACUCUGCUGUGUACUACUGCGCUCUGCAGCCCACAGUGACAGGAAACACAACAAGCCUGUACAAAAACCCAGGAGCAAAUGGCAGUGUUUGGUUAGUGUCAUUAUGUGUUUACUGCUCUAUUUCAUUACAGAAAUCUGAUUGAUUAUUGAAAUAAAAAGACAAAAUCACAUUACAUUGGAUCAUUUCUGUAUUACAUGUAGUAUCUUGUAAGUAAUGAAAUAAAUAAAAAAAACAUAGUGUGUGCCAUAUACAAAUGUUACGUGUGAUUGGAUUCUUUUAAAUGCUUUUUUAGAAUUAACAAUUCUUUGUGACAUUGCAAAUGGAUUUCCCAUAAACUGUCAAAACAAUAACAUUCCACAUA